rnacentral:lncRNA from 1 species
GACAAGCAGGCUAGGGGAACCCGACGUCCCUCAGGCCACGUCGUGGGCCCCUCAGCCUGGCCUGAAGCGUACGAUGCUUUUCCUCAAUCCGGAGUCCUCAAUCCGGUGUCCUAGUCUCUAGAGGCAAGAGCAUCCAUCCCUCCUUCGAGAUGAGGCCCGAGGUUGCCACCAGUACCCUGACACACCGAGGAGCCUUGGAGAGAAGCCACUUACCAAGGACAUAGGGGGGAAAGGAACAGUAGGCACAGACUGUGGGGACUGGAAAAGAGGAGGAUGGAAGGUUCUUGGCUGGGAAAGCUGGCAGAAGGCCAGGGUCUGAGAGAACGACUGGUGCAUGCUGUCCACUCCGCUGGCCGCUACAUGUAAAAUAGCUACAUACAGCUAUUCUAGCAAAUUGAAAGUAAAUCAUCACUGGG